GACGAACGCUGGCGGCGUGCUUAACACAUGCCAGUCGAACGGAAAGGCCCUGCUUUUGUGGGGUGCUCGAGUGGCGAACGGGUGAGUAACACGUGAGUAACCUGCCCUUGACUUUGGGAUAACUUCAGGAAACUGGGGCUAAUACCGGAUAGGAGCUCCUGCUGCAUGGUGGGGGUUGGAAAGUUUCGGCGGUUGGGGAUGGACUCGCGGCUUAUCAGCUUGUUGGUGGGGUAGUGGCUUACCAAGGCUUUGACGGGUAGCCGGCCUGAGAGGGUGACCGGCCACAUUGGGACUGAGGUACGGCGCAGACUCCUACGGGAGGCAGCAGUGGGGAGUAUUGCACAGUGGGCGGAAGCCUGAUGCAGAGACGCCGCGUGCGGGAUGACGGCCUUCGGGUUGUAAACCGCUUUCGCCUGUGACGAAGCGUGAGUGACGGUAAUGGGUAAAGAAGCACCGGCUAACUACGUG
rnacentral:rRNA from 1 species